GCCUCGUUAGCUUUGUUGGUAGCGCUAGCGCCUCUGCAUUGUAAGCGCUAGGCUGCGGGUUCGAUUCCCGCCCGGGGCG
rnacentral:tRNA from 1 species